rnacentral:rRNA from 1 species
UACGGGGGGGGGUAAGCGUUGUUCGGAAUUACUGGGCGUAAAGGGCUCGUAGGCGGCCAACUAAGUCGGACGUGAAAUCCCUCAGCUUAACUGGGGAACUGCGUCCGAUACUGGAUGGCUUGGAUUUGGGAGAGGGAUGCGGAAUUCCAGGUGUAGCGGUGAAAUGCGUAGAUAUCUGGAGGAACACCGGUGGCGGAAGACGGCAUCCUGGACCAACAUUGACGCUGAGGAGCGAAAGCUAGGGGGAGCAAAACGGG